rnacentral:rRNA from 1 species
UACGUAGGUGGCAAGCGUUGUCCGGAUUUAUUGGGUUUAAAGGGUGCGUAGGCGGUCCUAUAAGUCAGUUGUGAAAUACGGCAGCUUAACUGUCGAGGUGCAAUUGAUACUGCAGGACUUGAGUACAGACGAGGUAGGCGGAAUUUACGGUGUAGCAGUGAAAUGCGUAGAUAUCGUAAGGAAGACCAGUGGCGAAGGCGAAUCUCUGGACAGUUACUGACACUGAGGCACGAAGGCCAGGGGAGCAAACGGG